CCUACGGGAGGCAGCAGUGAGGAAUAUUGGUCAAUGGUCGGGAGACUGAACCAGCCAAGCCGCGUGAGGGAUGAAGGUACAGAGUAUCGUAAACCUCUUUUGUCAGGGAACAAAGGCGGGGACGUGUCCCCGGAUGAGUGUACCUGAAGAAAAAGCAUCGGCUAACUCCGUGCCAGCAGCCGCGGUAAUACGGAGGAUGCGAGCGUUAUCCGGAUUUAUUGGGUUAAAAGGGGGCGCAGGCGGGCUGUUAAGUCAGCGGUAAAAGCCCGGGGCUCAACCCCGGCCCGCCGUUGAAACUGGCAGUCUCGAGUUGGAGAGAAGUAUGCGGAAUGCGCGGUGUAGCGGUGAAAUGCAUAGAUAUCGCGCAGAACUCCGAUUGCGAAGGCAGCAUGCCGGCUCCACACUGACGCUGAGGCACGAAAGCGUGGGUAUCGAACAGGAUUAGAUACCCCUGUAGUC
rnacentral:rRNA from 1 species